rnacentral:rRNA from 1 species
GAGGAGUGGUUAGCGCAAGCGAAGCUACGAAUCGAAGCCCCAGUAAACGGCGGCCGUAACUAUAACGGUCCUAAGGUAGCGAAAUUCCUUGUCGGGUAAGUUCCGACCCGCACGAAAGGCGUAACGAUUUGGGCACUGUCUCAACGAGAGACUCGGUGAAAUCAUAGUACCGGUGAAGAUGCCGGUUACCCGCGACAGGACGGAAAGACCCCGUGGAGCUUUACUGUAGCCUGAUAUUGAAAUUCGGUACAGUUUGUACAGGAUAGGUAGGAGCCUUAGAAGCGUGAGCGCUAGCUUACGUGGAGGCAUUGGUGGGAUACUACCCUAAUUGUAUUGGAUUUCUAACCCGCAGCACUUAUCGUGCUGGGAGACAGUGUCAGGCGGGCAGUUUGACUGGGGCGGUCGCCUCCUAAAGAGUAACGGAGGCGCUCAAAGGUUCCCUCAGAAUGGUUGGAAAUCAUUCAUAGAGUGUAAAGGCA